GAAUCUUGCACAAUGGGGGAAACCCUGAUGCAGCGACGCCGCGUGAGCGAUGAAGCCCUUCGGGGUGUAAAGCUCUUUCGGCAGGGACGAUAGUGACGGUACCUGCAGAAGAAGCUGCGGCUAACUACGUGCCAGCAGCCGCGGUACUACGUAGGCAGCGAGCGUUGUUCGGAGGUACUGGGCGUAAAGCGUGCGUAGGCGGUAGUCCAAGUCUGGUGUGAAAUCUCCCGGCUUAACCGGGAGGGUGCGCUAGAAACUGGGCUGCUGGAGUGCGGGAAAGGUAAGCGGAAUUCCUGGUGUAGCGGUGAAAUGCGUAGAUAUCAGGAGGAACACCCGUGGUGUAGACGGCUUACUGGACCGUAACUGACGCUGAGGCACGAAAGCGUGGGUAGCAAACAGG
rnacentral:rRNA from 1 species